UACCAAAGUGCUAAUGGCCAUCAGAGCGCUCAAAGAAUUGUUCCCAUCAACCCAUCUCGCAGUAUCGCAGAUAAAUCCUCGAACAACAUGGCGCUAUUCAAGUAAUAAGCGUGCAAUGGCAAAUAUUAGGCGCCGAUUAAAUGGCUUUAUUAAAAAAAAUCAUAUUAGGCGUUUGGGGCUCUUUCAUUCCCCAUACGAUAACGCCAGAACAUUUGAAGUCAGAUGGUGUUCAUUUGAACGUACAAGGCAAUGCGCCUUCGCGACUUAAAGUCCUGUGUGCGCAGUUUGGUAAACAAUUGAAAAUAAAUAUCAUCAGUUUUUGUCAAGUGACUUUCAUGAUAUAUGCUUAUAUACGUUUACGGUAUGCUUUACCGUUCAUGGCAAGUUUGCUGCUGAGAAAUGCGAGGAUCCUUGUUUGUGUUUAUUUUCUGCUGCCAAGCCAAAAUUUCCUUACAGUAUUAAGCAAUUAUUUAAGUGACUUUUAAGAUAAGAAACCCAGUUCUGUUUCGGGUUGUUAACACUUGUUAUUUCCCUAUCCCUAUAUUAAUGGGAGUUCGUUUCAAAUACCUAGAAUCCCACAUUGGCGUUCGGCAGCACUUAAAUUAUGAUGUUUUAUUAUUUAUUAUUAUUUGAAUUAUAUAAAUACAGACAGUAAAGCCCAUUGGGGGCUAUUAAAGCUGCUGCUUGGCCCUUUGGGGCGGUCGCCAGUAAUACGCCAUGUUGGCAGGUGACUAUAUUGCUUCGUUGGAGCCUCGCCAUUAAAUCCGACCCUUAAAUGUAAAUAAAACUAAAUAAAAUUCUGACAAGUUAUUUGUGCUGUUGUUUUAUAGUCAUAUAAGAAGGAAGGUUAUGGUUAUGGUUGAUCUUCGAGUUAGAGAAGCUAAUCGCUUCAAUCAUUCUUGUAAGUUGAUGAUUUAUCGAUAAUACCAGCUAUUAACUAUAUAAUAGCUGUUGUUAUCGAGAAUAGUCAACCCGUUUCAUCCUUUCAAUGUUUACGUUAGCAAUACACAUCUAAUCAUUCUACACAGUCCCGCUUGAAUACGCCCUACAAGAUUACGUAAUCAAAAGAUUCCCGAGCCCGCCAUUUCGUUAAACCGUUGCAUUGGUUAAAACUUAAAAUCAAAUUCAACGCAUGCGCUAAAUCAAGCGCGCAACCACGCCGUUUCACUUUCGUUCAGGCAGUCGAACAGAAAGGCCAGUUUUUAAGGGCUAGGAUUGCUAUUUGAGAAAAAUUCCCUCCCUCCAACCCAUCUGCCGUGCCUUUUGCUUCUUAGCUUUAAUUAGUUUAUAUUUAUGUUCAUGAAUAGCGGCAUAUGUUGCAUUUGUCUGCGCCCGUUUUGCAUAUCUGUUUUCAGCAGAGCUAUAACAUCCAUGGUCGUUUAAAGCCACUACGACGAACUUGUAAAGUCACUGACCACUACGCAAACACAUGUGCACGCUCGUGAGACCAAAACCUUCAUCGAAUGGACAACUCGUGGAGUUACCAACGGCGUGGCUCCUAUUAAUCAAAGCACUGAAAGUGCUGAGGGACGGUGCCUCUGGUGUAUGUGCAGAACAAUCAAUAUACAGGGAGAGCUGCCUGGUUUCAAAAUCGUGUCGUUGUUAUCAACUAUUGACAGUUUGGUUAUUUCAAGAGCCAACUUUCGUCAUGCAUGACUACUUUUUAUGAAUUUGAAUGCAUGUUAAGCAAGCGAUCACUUUGUACGAAGUUGCAUACGAAGAUUUCUGCGACCGUUUUAUUAACGCUUUCGUACGUAAUUACUCUUCAAAAUGGGGAAGGAUCGGACGAAAAUGUAAACAAACCGUAGAUGCAAUCUUUUGAAAGAAAAGCUCAGUCAUCUGAGAUGCAGUGUUGCAGCACUGAAAAGCAUUGGGUGCCCAUCAUAGAGUGUUUCUCUUUGCCUGCAAUCAGGAUACAUCAACUGACCUUUGAACUGUGUUUUCCAACUUGGGAUUCAAACACAUGCCCUCUUGGGUAGGAGAAAGUCACCUGUGGCUAUAUCACUAUACUUCUUCAAGUCUUGCUCUAUGAGUGAUCAUGAUGUGA